rnacentral:rRNA from 1 species
AUUGAACGCUGGCGGCAUGCCUAACACAUGCAAGUCGAACGUGAAAGAGGGGCAACUCUCGAGUAAAGUGGCGGACGGGUGAGUAAUACGUAGGAAUCUACCCUAGAGUGGGGGAUAACCUGUCGAAAGACGGGCUAAUACCGCAUGAUCUCUAUGGAGCAAAGGUGUCUUGUAGUAAUACAAGAUUUCGCUUUAGGAUGAGCCUACGUCGGAUUAGCUAGUUGGUAGGGUAAAGGCCUACCAAGGCAAUGAUCCGUAGCUGGUCUGAGAGGACGAUCAGCCACACUGGAACUGAGACACGGUCCAGACUCCUACGGGAGGCAGCAGUGGGGAAUAUUGGACAAUGGGGGAAACCCUGAUCCAGCAAUGCCGCGUGUGCGAUGAAGGCCUGCGGGUUGUAAAGCACUUUCGGUGGGGAAGAAAUGCUCAAAUAUAAUACAUUUGAGAGCUGACGUUACCCAUAGAAGAAGCACCGGCAAACUCUGUGCCAGCCGCCGCAGUAACAC